UGAGUGAACUAGAUGAUCGCGAAGGAGAAAUCCUUUGAGGAAAGUCCGAGCUCCUUAGGGCAGAAUGCUGGGUAACGCCCAGUGGAGGUAACUCUAAGGCUAGUGCCACAGAAACAAACCGCCUUUGUCGAUUGCUCUGCAAUCACAGAGGUAAGGCUGAAAAGGUGAGGUAAGAGCUCACCAGCGAUUAGGUGACUAAUCGGCUAGGUAAACCCCAUUCGGAGCAAGGUCAAAUAGGGAAGAAGAGGUAGCCCGCUUCGUUAUACUUCCGGGUUGACCGCUUGAGACUUUAGGUAACUAAAGUCCUAGAUAGAUGAUCAUCCACGACAGAACUCGGCUUACCGGUUCACUCAGGAA
rnacentral:RNase_P_RNA from 1 species